UACGUAGGGUGCGAGCGUUAAUCGGAAUUACUGGGCGUAAAGCGUGCGCAGGCGGUGAGUUAAGUCUGAUGUGAAAGCCCCGGGCUCAACCUGGGAAUGGCAUUGGAAACUGGCUCGCUGGAGUGUGGCAGAGGGGGGUGGAAUUCCGCGUGUAGCAGUGAAAUGCGUAGAGAUGCGGAGGAACACCGAUGGCGAAGGCAAUCCCCUGGGCCUGCACUGACGCUCAUGCACGAAAGCGUGGGGAGCAAACAGG
rnacentral:rRNA from 1 species